CUAUGGCUCAACCAUAGAACUGCAUUGGAAACUGGUAACCUAGAGUAUGGGAGGGGGAGAUGGAAUUUAGUGGUGUAGGGGUAAAAUCCGUAGAUAUCACUAGGAAUACCGAAAGCGAAGGCGAUCUCCUGGAACAAUACUGACGCUAAGGCGUGAAAGCGUGGGGAGCAAACGGGAUUAGAUACCCCGGUAGUCCACGCCCUAAACGAUGUUCACUAGUCGUCGGAAUGCUAGUCAUUUCGGUGAUGCACUUAACAGAUUAAGUGAACCGCCUGGGGAGUACGGUCGCAAGAUUAAAACUCAAAGGAAUAGACGGGGACCCGCACAAGUGGUGGAGCAUGUGGUUUAAUUCGAAGAUACGCGAAGAACCUUACCUAGCCUUGACAUUGAUUGAACUCAGUAGAGAUACGGAGGUGCCCUUCGGGGAACAUGAAAACAGGUGCUGCACGGCUGUCGUCAGCUCGUGUCGUGAGAUGUUGGGUUAAGUCCCGCAACGAGCGCAACCCUCGUCCUUAGUUGCCAGCAGGUUAAGCUGGGCACUUUAAGGAGACUGCCUUCGCAAGGAGGAGGAAGGUGAGGACGACGUCAAGUCAUCAUGGCCCUUAUGGCUAGGGCUACACACGUGCUACAAUGGGGCGUACAGAGAGUUGCGAUACCGCGAGGUGGAGCCAAUCUCAUAAAGCGUCUCUCAGUUCGGAUUGAAGUCUGCAACUCGACUUCAUGAAGCUGGAAUCACUAGUAAUCGUAGAUCAGCAAUGCUACGGUGAAUACGUUCCCGGGUCUUGUACUCACCGCCCGUCACACCAUGGGAGUUGAUUUCACCCGAAAUUGGGAAGCUAACCUUCGGGAGGCUACCACUUACGGU
rnacentral:rRNA from 1 species